AUGUUCUGCGUCGGCAUUAAGUCAAACACCUGGUGGGCGAGCUCCCGCGCCACCUCGCCCUGCGCUCGCGAGCUCACCUCCGCCGCUGCGCCCGCGAGGUCCCAGCCACAGCUCGUCGUGCCCGUCGCGCGCGCCCCACCCCCCGCCUCGCUGCUUGCCGACGCCCAUGCUCGCAGCUCCCGCCCUGCCUCGCCGGUCGCGCACUCGCAGUUCCCGCUCACGCGCGUGGCGCCCGCCCUGCCUUGCUCCAGUCGCGCGCUCGCAGCUCCCGCCCUGCCUUGCUCCGCGCCCUCGCCGGGGAUGCAGCAACUCCGGGCUGGCCAGCAGUGGCCGGUCGGCUCGGCGGUCGCGCCGGGGUGCUUCUCGGUGUACGUGGGGCCGGAGCGGGAGAGGUUCGUGGUGCGCGCCGACCGCGCCAACCACCCGCCGAGCAGGAGUACGGCUACGCGGCGCAGGGGCCCCUCGUGCUGCCCUGCGCCGUCGACGCCUUCUUCGACGUGCUCUAGCACAUGGACCACGACGUCCAGGACGACGACGAUGGCGAGGCCACCGUGGCCCCGUCGACGCCCAUAUGCGGCCUGCAGCGCGCCGGCAGCGGGAACAUCAAGGUCCGGCCGGCGGGGUACCGGUGCUCAGCCCGGCCAAGUACACGCCGACGUCCUUGUUCUUCUCGCAGACGGCGGCUGGCGGUAG
rnacentral:rRNA from 1 species